AAACUAAUAAUUUGAUUGGUAGAAUGAUAGGGUAACGCCUUGAAAUGCCAACUCUAAUUUCCGACAUGCAAUAAUAGUUUAGAAUAUUAUUGUGUGAAGCUCGGUGAAGUCGAGUGAAGGUUACCGUAAGUAAUUAAUAUUUAAUUACACGAAAGUUCUUUGGAGGCAAAGAAUGUAGCUUAUAGCUCGUGAGCCUAUAAA
rnacentral:ncRNA from 1 species